AACGCCGUACAGGGGAGGAUACUGGCGUUUGAACAGGGGUUGUGGUCCCCGAGCUGGAGAUAACUGAGGUGAUCUGGGCUCAUCACUCUGCGAACUCGCCAGUAGUGCCAGUGGUGGCUGGGGUGACACUGCCGAUAUCCUUCGCCUGGGUGGGGAUGAUGGAGGUGCUGAAUCAGAGCCAAGACGCCGGGUCUUAGUUGGCCUCCUGGAAUAUGUGACUACAGUGAAGACUUACCUGCAAUACCGGCAUCAUCAUGACUGGUCUGAGGCCUGUCUGGGCGGCUGGUCUGUGUGACUGUGGAAAAAGUGACACCAACAUUAUUACCCUGUUUGUUUUUAAAGGACCCAGUGAAAACCAUUAAUGUACUGUAAGCAUCUAUUUGGUUUGGUUGCCACAACAAAAUUAAGCUUAAGAGCUUCUAUAUUUUUGAUUUUGAGUUGAAUAUCAAAAUGUACUUCAUGUGGCACACAAUAAAUUUAUAAGCAGAA